UAAAUAUAUAUUUGUAAUUUGCUACGAAUAUGAAUCUCCGGAUUAAGCAGAGAGAGUGUCAAAGAGAUGAAAUUGCUAUCGCCUUCCGCAACCGCUACUUCUUCCCUCCCUUCUUCCGCUUUUCUCCCUUCUCACUCCAAUGGGUUCCAAAAUCUGGGCUUUUCUUCAGCUACCUUCAAAUUCUCUAAGAAUAAGGGAAGAUGCAUUAGGAAAGCCGGGAGCACUAAUAUCACUGCAAAGUUUGAGCUGAAGCCACCGCCUUAUCCGCUGGAUGCUACAUAAGUUCCCUAGCUUUCAUCCACAAGGACAUGGUUGCAUCUCCAAUGACGGGGUAUUGUCACAGUUUUUACACAAACACCUUAACGGUAACAAAUAACUAUUUUAUCAUUUUUUGCAUUUUCAAUUACAUGAAGCCACAUCACUAGCUUCUAGAAGAAUCAUAGAAUGAAAAUAUUUCCAAAUCUGUUUCUGAUUUGCAUAUGUGUAGCCCUGUGGCCAAUGAGAAUGACAACUCAUCAUCCAAUCAAUUAUGUAUCAUUCUGUUGUGCUCUUGACAUCCGAUUUCUUUCCAUUUAUGGAAUUCUUGUUUGGAGCUGAGAUUAUACGGUUCUCCUUAUAAUCCAAAUCCCAUCUCAAAAGCGAAAUGAAAACGACAAAUUUUGUAAUUUGAGUAUAAUUAACAUACAUGAGAUACGCCAAAAAAUAAUGAAAUAAAUGGCUUAGUCGAGAAAGUGAGUCAUAACUCAUAAGCCUGUCAGAUUCACCGCUCUCUUGGGAGAAGGAUGGAGCAUGAGCACAGUGCCGACAUGAGGGAGAGGAACCAAAACAACAAAGCGCCACCACUUUCAGGUUUAUGUCUCUGUCUAUUUGAUUUUCCUAUUUCUGAAUCUCAUCAUCGCAACGUCUUUAUUAAUGCUUUCUCUUAAUUGAUUUGAUUCUGAAUGUUGAGUUUGCUUGAGCUAGCACGACCUCUUGAACAACCAAAACCAAAAACAACCAAGCCUUAUUCUACUAAAUAGGAUCGACUACAUGUGUCAAAUUCUGCCAUAAUGUUCUAUCCAAGUCCUUUUGAACAUUAUGACAAAAACAUUACCUAGUCUUCUAGAUAUUGAGAUAGCUAGUUACUGACAUUUUUGUUUUUGGCUUUCCUUAUAUUGGGAUUGAGUUAGAAACUUUUACUUGAUUUCGAAAAUUUUGAUAAAUUUGAACAAGAAAAAUGAUAAUUAUCAUGGGUGAACUUUCCCAAAACUUUAUUUAUUAAAAUAAAACACACAAAUGGUUGUUAUAUUAGAUCUGUAAGAUGCCCUCUCUCACGUAAGAGUCCUUUGGGAGCAUAUUCAACCACUACAAAUCCCCAGCGUGGUUAAAUGGUGGCCAUGGCGGAUUUUUUGUUAACCAUCAUAUGCCCCUAUGGCAUAUAUAUAUGGUGAACUUUUGGCCUUCCACCGCCGACAACAUUGCAACCAACUGAGUGAUUAUCUCACCCACUACAAAUCCCAUAGCUACCCUCCCUUAGAUUGAAAAUCCCCGGUACAACUUGCUACAGGAAUAUUGUUUAAUUGACCUAUGCCGAUUGGAAUAGGCUCAGACACUCCUGUCUUUUUCUAUAAGAAUCAACAUGAUUUUUAUAGUUUCCUUUUCCAAAUGAAAUUCAACGAGAUCCAAAGACACCAUCUUCAUCUAUGAAUUUUGUAGGUUCUUUUUCCAAAUAGACCAUAUUUUCAUCCAUUGGAUUUCAAGUACUAGAAUUUGAAUCAACUCAAAGUUUGAUUGUAUAUGAAUUUCUUAUAGUCUUAUAAUUAGUGUUAUCAAAUAUCGGCCAUGGUGGAUAUUAGUGGCGGUUUUUGGGCUUGCCGCAAUGGUAAAUAUCAGCAGAUGUUGCGGAUUUUUUCACCAUAUCAUUGGCGGGAUUUUGGCUCUCCACCAUGGACCGUCAUCUGCCCUCGACAACACUGCAAUAAUAUUCACAAUGUUUUUUCAUAAAUGCAUUUUUAUAUUAUAUUCUGUCUACAUGGUCUUUACAUUAUAUAUCUAUUGUGUCCUCUCUUGCAAAAGUUCUUACGCACAUACUCCCGCCAUAUCUUGUGCUAACAGUGAACUUUUGUUUAAUAACAGACAGGGAAAGCAAUGAUCAAACUCUAGGCUAUUUGACGAGCGAGAUAUUCAAUAGAAAUAGAAGUAGAGUCCAUAUUUCCACAAAAUAAAACAUACUAACAAGUGUAUGAAUAUGAACAAAGAGAAAUUAACAUGCAUAAGACAAAUGCCACAAUAAUAAAAGAGAGAUUUACCAAGACAACAGGUGCAAGAAAAAGAAAGAUAAAAAAACUCAUGUUGAGGGUAAAAUAGUUGUAACUUCUAUAAGAGGUUUUAUAGAGAAUCAGAUCAACUUUGUUUCGGAAAAAUGUCUUACAUUUAGCUAGGCCGAUAACUUAGUUCUUUUCAUUCAAUAACAAUUGUUGUUUGUCUCCUUAACUUGGUACAUUAUCUAUCUCUUUUUAUAAUGUAAAAUGUAAAACUAACUUAAAUAUAAAGUUGAGUAAAACAACAUAAUCUCUUAUGUAACAAUAGUUUAUAUUAUAUUACAAGUGGUUUUAUGAUAUUGCUGAUAAAAAGUGUGAUAAGUUACGCUGUUUUACAAAAAAUCUAGAAGUGAUAAUGUACCAAACAUGUGAGACGAACGAUUUAUCUCAAUUUAAUUGCAUAGAACUGAUCAAAACGUGACUGGCCUGACUCACUAGAAAAACGUGGCUGGCCUGACUCUCUAUAAAAACCCCUUAAGACAAUUUUUAUCUCAUAACUUAAGUUGUUCUUUAUCUUCCCCUGUCUCACACCCCGUAUCAAUAAAUCUCUCUUCGCCGACGCUUUCAUCUUGUGCAUGUUAAGUUCUCGCUGCUCCGAUUCGUAUCUGGGCUGGUAUACUCUAUCUUGUGAAAUUGUGAACUGUAAUUUAAUUUAUAUUCCGUCAUUGCAUUGAUUUAAUUUGUUGGUAAUUCAGAUUGCUUGUGAUCUUCUCCUUUUUAGUACUGAGAUUAGUAUCAGGGAUUACCGAAGAAACACCAAGAUCAUCAACGAUCGUAGUGCAGUAGGUUAUUUAUACACAUCCUGCUGUUACGAUAUUCGUAAAAGACGUAUCUUCAUUCAAAGGAAGGAACAAUACAAAAACGAUGCAAUUCGUAAAAAGCGCAUCUUCAGUCCGAGGCUCAUCUAGUACAUCUGCAAGUCUGACUGUAAGAGAGCAAGCGGAUUCUCGGUCUGUCUAUGUUGGAAAUGUUGACUAUGGAUGUGCAUCUGAAAUUAUUAAACAGCAUUUUAUGUCAUGUGGAAAAGUAAUUAGGGUAACAAUUCCCGCAAAUGAAUUUGGUCUACCCAAAGGAUGCGCAUAUGUUGAGUUUGACAACAUUGAUGCUGUUCCCAAGGCACUGUUACUCAACGAGUCCGAGCUUCAUGGUCGGAAAAUUAAGGUCUGUGCUAAGCGGACAAACAUUCCCGGAAUGAAGAAAAUUCGUGGGAGAAGCACCUAUGUUUUAAGGUCCAGGAGGCCAUCUGCAGUGUAUUGCAGACCUGGUUAUGGAAGCGCUCCAAGGUUUGGACGUUCCAUGCGAUACAGACCAUACUAGUGGUCAGCUGAGUUUAAUGGUGAUCGAUGAGAAAAAGAGGACAAUGCAUUCUAUUUUCCAUUUAAUCUCCAUUUCUAAGGGAAUGAACAUGUGUUUUAAUUUGCAUACUCUUGGCUAAACUAUUUACUGUACUGGUACAUAC